ensembl:lncRNA
GUCACGAUGACGCGGGCGUGAUGUGGCUGAUUCAGACGUUUAGCAUCGCGGUUGAGUUCUCGUUGGAGAAUUUGCCUUCGGGUUAUUGUAAUUCUCUGGGGGACAAUCGAGCAGGUAAUCAGAUAAAACGCCACAGUUACGUUACUUUGGAGUUUCCUAGCCUGAAGAUGUCAGCCGUGCUUAUUUGAAGUUAUAGCUAACGUUAGCUCUUGAAAAUCCUUUAAAAAUAAAGCAAAGAAUAAACGAGGCGCCGUUUUUGGCAGCUGUGGUUAGUGGGGUUUAACCCUAACUACUCUACAAUAACGUGCUAUAUAAUUUAGUAUGAGAUGUGCUCACUGUCAGUGCUGUAGUGGUAAAAUUAGAGGUGGGUAAACUCUGAAUUUUGCGAUCAUACAGACCUCGACGCGAUGCGAAGCAACGCAACACAAAGCGGCUAUAUUGCAUUAUGUUAUCAGUAAAAGUCAUAUACAAUCAAUGACAAUGAAUAAAUGUGUUAGUAGUUUGAAGUUUAUUAAAUUUAAGAAAACAGUAAAGAAAAGUAUGUCAACACAACAACACAAUUGCAGAUUAAGAACUAUCUACAUAUGGAGUCUCCUCUUUACAGUAGUGCCCAGAGGGCCUCCUUGUCCUCCACGUCAGGUCCUGCCUUGCACAGAGGAGCCAUGAACAACAGCAAAAAGAAAACACCACACAGACAACUUGCUUGCCCCUAAAGAUGCAUUUGGUCGCUUAAUUGUGAUCAGUUCAAUAGUUCAACCAAAAGUAGAUUGUUGUUUUUACAUUUUAAACACUAUUGCUAAACCACUUGUACAUAAAAAUGAUCACAAUGCUCUUUGGUCCUUAUUUUUGAAGAUGGUUCCACAGUUAUGGAAAAUAGGAGAUGGACUUGUAGCUCUUGGGACUUGGGCUCAUGCCAGUCUGCACUGAUCAAUGAACCCUUGUCCAUUAAAUGAAGACAGCAGCUAAUUUCAGGUAUGGAUGGAUGAUUGCCUCUUCUGUAUCUGGCUUUCAAAGCCCUCUCGCUGGACCAAGGAGGAGGGCAGCUUGACCUGAGGAGUUCACAUAAGGUCUUCUACUUCAGAAGAAAAAAACAGAACAUUAGAGGGAAUGAGCCCAUGCAUGUAAACAGCACCUAACAGGACACCCUGACCGUAGCACUGUGAACCAAUGUUAUUACUAAAUACUACUUGAAUGAAUGGACAAUAUUGAGCGACAAUACAAAAGAGCUUUAAAAGAUUGUUGCAUGCACGGUAAUGUGGAAACAUUUAGUAUGCCUGAGACCGAUUGUGUAUUAAGAUGAAGAAUCAAAUUGAAUCAGCCACAUUCGACUCAUAUGAGCAUCAUGAUAAUCAUUCAAUAGGUCCGGAAAGUAACUUCCCCAGUUGUAAAAUCGAAUUGGGCGUUAAUUUGGGAGUUUUUCUGUUUAUAAAUUAGCUUUAUCUAAUCAAUUGUUCCUUUAUAAUUUGAUAUAUCCCAACAGACAACAAUUAUGUUUCAGACGUCAGAGCACAAUUCUGAUAAUAACUGUGAAUUCCUUUUUUAUUUAUUUGUUGGGGUUAUAACAAGUCAAAGUUGAAUAUAAUUGUGUUUAUUCUCAAGUAAACCUGCCAUGUGUAAUUCAUGUUUUUUUUUUUAACUGGACAGGACAGGAUACAGAACAUAACCAUAUUUUGUUUCUGACUAAUUUUCUAAAACAUAUGUUGAUGAGGUUUUUGUGUUCAUUUUAUAGAAGUUGCUAAGAGAAGGUGUUUCAAUGCUUCUUUUGUAUCACCAAGACUGACAUCUGGAGGAUAAAACAAAGAGCUGCAAGUGUUUCAGACUUCUUUUCUUUUUGGAAUUCUGAGGAAUUAGUUUUUUGGAAACACUAAUGAACCCCUUGCGUGUCCUUUGCGUGCCCUUUUCACACCAAAACCCAUUCAUUCUCUAUGGUUGUGCUAAACCACUGCGGGUGUAAUAUAUCUUUGGCCACCGGUGGCGCUGUUGUGCGGACCGAGCGUUUGCCCGGAUGUAAAGCGUUUCUCCGGUCAUUCUCCGUCAGUCUACCCGGGAUAGAGCACCGAAGCGACGGUGCACCUUCGUCGGACCUCGCGCUAUGAGGAAGUCACUAAACAGUAAGUCAAUGACAUUUAAUGUGUAAUAAUUAUUAAGAUAAAUAUGCAGCAUGACUAUAAAUAUAAUUUAUGUUGGUGUCACGCCACAUGUUAGUUUAUAGUUGUGUUCACGUGUGUUUGACUGCAUUAAUUACUAGUUGCAUAUCACAGAUGUUACUCAACUAAUAAAUGAGGAUCUUGUAAUAGAUUAAACCACCAGAAUUGUUUAAAGUCAGUCAAAUUUAAACACAUUAAUGCCUCAAUGAUUAGGAUAAUAUAUGAUAUAUUUGGCAUCACGACUAGUUUUAAUCUUACUUUAAAAAAAGUUAAUUUAACUUAAAGUUAAUUUAAGUCCCUGAAGCCCAUGUACUGGGGACUGGCACAGCGCUGCAGCGCUGCAGGCAUAGAAAAGGCACAAUAACAGUGGGUAGACAGGUAAAUUAUAUCAAUAUUUUUAACCAUCAUUGGUGACACAAACAGCUCAUAGUAACAACUUAGAUUACUUUUCAUUUUUUUCAGUUUCAUUAAAGAAAAGCCCUUUGCAUUCAAUUUUAUUUUGAUGACCAUAUCCACCGGUGCACACAUGGUGGUCUAUAUGACUGCUGUCACAUCGAUGGCUUUCCUUUUCUUUUUUCUUUCAGGGAUUGCUGUGUUGCACUUAAGGUGGCAGAGUCGUCUGCAGGAGAACAUCUGAAAUGGGAUUCUUGGAGAACAAGAGAUUGCCAAUGUCACGUCUGGCAACCAUCACAUUUUAAUGCAAACAUUAAUAUCAAGCUGGACUUGUUUCACUGCAUGAGGCGGUUCCUCCGUGAGUGUGUGUCGGUGGCAUCCCGCCCUGUACAGUUCCUUUGCUCAGUUCCUUUGCUCAGUUCCUCUGGACUGGGACAAGCACAACAGCAAGACAGAUCACACCCAGGCCCCGAAUCCACCUCCUCAAAGUGAUCCACUCGCUACACAGUCGGAGGUUCAAGGGUGUUCCAGUUUUCUCCAUACAUUUGUGUCACUUAUCCAUUUUUUUACAAGAUGUGAAAAUAUAUUUAGGGUGUUAUUAAAUAAACAUUCACAUACAAAUACCAGUCUUUCAUGAGCUUUUAAUGAAAGUUUAUAUUUAUUAGACAAGUAUUUGAUUCUCUAGGUCAGAAUGACUUAUAAUACUCUGUCUUUUGUUCCUGUAGAAACUCUACACAGCAAAAAUUGGAGUGUUGAAAUUUCAGGGUUAAAAAUUUCCGAGUUGAUUUUCACUCCCAGAGUGUAAUUUCAACACAUUCUGAUUUAAAUGGUGUUCAGUGUUGGAGUUAUUUGGCAGAGUUGAUCAUGUCAGUGUUAACCCAACUCCGCAGAGACGUAAUUAAGCUCCGCCCACGCCUUUCACCUCUUCGGUUAGAGACAGAGAAGACAAGUCUGCGCCAUUUUCUACCUCUCAUGCAGCACUACACGAUCAAAGGGACCGCAAAAAACGUGUCCCAACAUGCAGACGGGUGUUUCACGUGUCUAGUUCACGUGUCUUGACAAUCAUGGGAACACUUCUAUGAUGCUGCAAGCAGCACAGGGUACAUUUCUUGGCGUCUGAAAACAGUCCAGAGGAAGAUUCUGCACAGCCACCAAAUAGCCCAAUUGACUUUUCUCCAGGAGGCCCAAAUUGGCAAAGGACUGUUAAUGUUGAAGGGCAGCUUGAUGGUGAUGCUUGCCAAGAGGCCAUGUCUUUGCUUAACCAUACAGCAGACAAUUCCCUGAUUUUCCAGAAGAUGAGAGAAACCUUUCAGCAUCGUCAGAAGUUUGUUUGACUAAUAGAUGGAUGACUGUUUAAAACUUUGUCAUAAUGCCUCCCUGUUCUCAUUCAAACUUAACGUGUUACAUUUGAAAAGUUUUUAGUUAACUCUUGUGACUGUUUGUCCUCAGCCUACGACCAAGAAAUGGCCUCCCUGUUGUUGCUGUUACAUCUCCUUCCACCACCUCCAGGGGGACUGAAGUCUCCAAAAAAUAGUGCAUGUGAUGCAGUUGAAAGACUUGUUGUAUUUCAUAAGUCAUGCUGCAGUUUGGAGGAGCAUCUCCGCAACCAGCAGGGUCGGCAGCCGUACCUCCUCGCUGUUGGGCGUCAGAAGAGCAAGAUUGACAGCUUCUACAUCACCAUGGAUAAGCGUCUCAUCCCAUGCAAGGCAAACCGCUCCCUCGGGGCAUGUGAUGAACUUUUCAAAGCACAUUUUGUGUUUAAUUUGUCUUACGAUGUGGCACUUGUGAAUUUUUAUACAUUCCUGCAGACAACAGUGUAUAACAUUGAUGUGGGGAAAAUGAAGGAGUCACCCAGAGUUAAAGACUUGAGAGCAAGACUGCUUAACCAGCCAGUAGCAUUCUCACCCUGUGAGUAAGAAGCUAUAACAAUGCUGACCUGUUUCAUGUGUUGACAAACAAGCUAUUUACAGAGAAUUUUCAUGACCAUCAUCAUGCAUUCAGAGUAUUACGAAGUGCGGAAAGAUGUUUACUAAAAAUGUCUGCGCUUAAAUUUCAUAAACCGUUUCAUAUUCAAAGCUCAUAUAAUGUUUUGGAUGAAAGUUUGUACAUUAUACCUUCAUUCACAAUGUUUUAAUUCAACUGACUGCAAGGGAGAAAAGGAAUAAAUGUUUUUGAAAAUGUUUUUUAUUGUGAUGAAUUCUUAUUAAUAUAAGUAUAUAUUUAAUUAAUACAUUUAAAAUGAAUUAACAUUUUUUCAGUGUAGAUAAUUGACACAUUAGGGAGUGUAAUUAACACUACCAAAAUAGUUAAAAAAAUUAACUCGGAGCAGUGUUAGUUGUCUAAUCCCUCAGUGUUACUUUAACACUGUUUUGUGAGUUAAUAAAGGAACUCUGGUAGAGUGUUAAAUGUUUAACUAUUUUGAAAGUGUUAAUUUAACUCUGGAGAGUGUGGAGCUAUAUAAACUCUCAAAAAGUGUUGAAAUCAACUCUGUGGGAGUUAAUUCAACACUGGACAUUUUGCUGUGUACGUCCGCCGUCGCUGGCAGUUAUCGACCUGCUGCUCAACAAACACCGUGAGCAGAAGGACAUGCUGAAGCUUGUGGACCAGGACUACGCUGCUCUAGUUCACAACUCCUGCACAGACCCCAACAGCAUGCUCCACCCGACAACAAAACUACAUGUUCUACAAUAUGUAAAGCACCUCAGCAAAUUGUUGAACACCAGUUCCUCUUUAAACGUCAGUCCAGAAAAACUGCAAGAGAGGCAGAAACUCUGUCACUCUCUGACAGAGGCGAGUGAGACUACUAGUGUGCAGGUUGUUACGAUGUCUGUUGUAAUUGUUCACCCACCUCCACCUGUUCAGAUGCUGACACAAGCUUCUGUUGAGAAGAUUGUACCCAACAUCAUGGAAAAGCAGCAGCAACAUAAACAGGAACAACAACAACAACCGGGGCAAAAGAAGGGCCGCACGAAAGACAAAAGUUCUUUCAGCUAGAACUGGAUGCCACACAGAAAAGUUCCAUCUGGCAUUUUAAGUGCAAUUAUUUGUAAUAUUCAUGUUGUAAUUAGUUUAUAUAUUGGUUUCUUGCAUUUGUGACUUUGUACAUUGAAAUAUUAUCAUUUUAUUAUUUAUAUUUGGUUUUAAUAUUCAUUAGUUUAAUUAUUUAAAUGUCUUUAUUUCUGUAACAUGUUUGUUUGUAUAGGACUAUACAAAUCGGUUGAUGUAUCUGUGUUCAACAUUUACUGUCCAAGUUAAUAAAUAUAUUUCAAUUACUAAUGUCUACAUGUGUCAUCAAUAAGUGAAUCACUGUAGUGAAAUUUGGUCUGUAAGUACAAUCUAGUGAUAACCAGUAGACAGCAGAUUGGGGUAAACAUUUCCUUUA